CUAUUGUGGCACAACAAGCGACUGUAUUAACUAAAUGCACCACAAAAAUAAAGAAUAAAAAAAAAAAUAGGAAUGACAAAUGUUGCAAUAUGUGAAACGCCUCGAAUGGGGUGAGGUGUAGCGGGCCGACUUGAAUCUCUCUUGAUGUCUUUUCCUUGGGCAGAGCAAGGGCUGCGAUACCCGACAUACACUCGUGCUAAUCUUUUCGUAGCUAGACCGUGGGGAUCAUCGCUCUCCGGGCUGGUUACCGCGGUGAGGUCCCAACGACUCUGGUUGCUGCAUGAGCACCCCUUGACGGAGGGGACCUGAUACGGGAUUCCAUUAAUCCCGGGGGGAUCUUUGCCCUUGAGGCGCACUCCCCACCUACACAUAUAUACACCACACGACUCACACUCGCAACCUUCCUAACCUCACCUACCAACCUCUGCCCCCACACACCCCUCCUCCUCUUCACUUAUCCCUUCUUUGUUUGUCGAACUCUGUGGGUGCCUGCCACGGAAUCGGGGGACCCCGAGAACUUGAGACCGUAUCUCUGGUACAGAAGGGACGAUGGCCCAUAAGGGGGGGAUGGCAUACCGCUAAGUGCCAUUGUCUGUCCUAACUCUCAAUUGCAGAGGCCUGAAUAUCCCAGAACGAAG